GUUGGGGUCCUGGCAGGGAGCGGGCCGGGGCUGGCCUGGCCGAGCGGGUCCUGGAGCCGGAGCCUUUGUUUCCCUCUGGGCUGGGUUCACUAGCGGCGGGUAGUUUUCCACUUGUUGCUAUUUUAUAAAUGAGAAGUUUGAUGAACAUCCUUAUACAUACGUAUUUGCACACAUCCUUGAGAGGUUCCUGGAAAUAAGAUUGACGGAUAAAAAGCAGUGCUUAUUGCCUGGUGUGGUGGCUCACACCUGUAAUCACAGCACUUUGGGAGGCCUAGGCGAAUGGAUCACCUGAGGUCAGGAGUUGAAGACCAGCCUGGCCAACGAAGGAUCGAGAUCGAGACCGGGAUCGUGAAGAUCGGUCUAAAGAUCGAGACCGAGAACGUGAUAGAGGAGAUAGAGAGCGAGAGAGGGAGAAAGAGAAGGAGAAGGAGUUGCGAGCUUCAACGAAUGCUAUGCUUAUCAGUGCUGGAUUACCACCUUUGAAAGCUUCCCAUUCAGCUCACUCAACCCACUCAGCACAUUCAACGCAUUC
rnacentral:sRNA from 1 species